GUGUUUGUUUCCCACUUCCUCAUGUGACUCACCUGGUGACAUGACGCUGUGACAUCACAGCAAGACCAUUUAAAGGGCAGGUGCUCUCGGUCCGUCUCUCUCAGUCUCUCCUCCUCCUCUGUAGUGAGUUAAUGUUUUUUUCUGGCUGUUGUGUAAAUGUUGUCGCUCCCCCUCUGCUAAGGUAAGACCGACCUGCUGCUCUGUGAGACGUCUGCUCUCUUUUACUCUAUAGUCCAGACGUCUUGAAUAUCUGUUUCAAAAACACGUGUUUACGGUCUUUUCUCUUUGCUCUUUAAUUUGACAUAAAAGUUCAGAUGUUAUUUUUAUGACAGUAAUUACAGCCUUUUUUGACACAGGUGAACUCUUUUAAGAGUCCUGCUGCAAAAAUAUAUAAAUAUAAGGGCUGGGCGAUUUGGGAAAAAGUUUAUCACAAUCUAUUGAUUUCAUAUCAGCUGAUAUGGAUCAAUAUCAGGAUCUAAAAAUCUAACAGUGUUUCUUGGUCUCAUGUCUUUUCCAACACAAUAAUCUCCUGCAUCUGUGAGGUCUUUGUGUCUCUUUGGCGUUUUGUCGUAAGGCGUCGCUCUAGAGAAAGCCGACUGAACGGUCGUCUGUUUCAGGCGCCACGGGCUCCUCGCUCCUCUCGGGGUUUGUAACCUUUUGCGUUGCGCGUGCUCUGCGGCGUGGCGCUGCUUCAGGUGGUGAAAAAGAUUUGAGGUAUUCCCCGACUUUGUGAGAACAUGUACUCGACAUAAUUUACAGUCCACAUUACUCUGCUUCAUGUCCGACCUCCAAAAACCAAAAUACCUCCACACCACCGACGUUUUCCUAACGCCAGUGUUGUGGUUGACAUUGAUGUGGUCAUCUGUUGAGCCUUCAUGGUCAUUUCUGUCGGGGGUAGCACUCAUUUUCUUUGUUUCUCACCAACAGUGCUGUCGGCUUCACCUGUUAAAGUGCUAUGGUUGGGUGGAGCUGCUGUCUGCUACGACGCUGCAGUUGGUUGAUACUUGGUUCUAAUUCAGAACAUGAUUGGUUCAGACCCGGAGACACUCCCCUUUUCAUUGGCUGUUCGUAUAGUCGACCAAAACAUGUCAGAAUGACGACUAUUGAAAAGGAUAUUGAUCAUGUUUUAUAUUGAUAAUGAGGGAAAUUAAUUUCCGAUAUAUAUCGUUAUGGUUUUAUCGCCCAGCCCUAACAGGUAAAAACUUGGUUGUAAAGGCUUUUUUAGUGAUGGACUAAAUGACCAAUCUCCCAGAAUCAUGAGUCAGAUCCUGGUGGAAAUACCUGUAAGAAUAUUCUUUAAUUAUCCUGCUGUCUUCAUUGUUAAGCUGCUCCAUAAGUGGAAAGUCCGUCAGACUGAUUGGAUGGUUAAAAUCGUCUUUUCUCUGUUUGUUUUCCUGUUGUUUUCUCACUUUGGCCCCUCCUGUCAGAUGAUAGAGAAGCACAUGGAUGAAGCAGCUGCUGAUCAGAAUUCAGCUCAGCAGAAAGUCUGAUCCUCCGUCAGUGGUCUCAUGUUUCUGAAGAGUCUGAAAUGAUUAAAGUCACAUAUUCAGGAGGAAAAACCCGGUCUGGGUCCCUCGGUCUCCUUUGUUUGCUCCUGACUGUAGGGGGAUUUUUCCUGCAGGAGUGUCGUGUUUGUUUUGGUGUGAGCGCAGAGGAAAUAACAGCAUACUUGAUUUUACCGGAGGAGAGGACUGGUGCAUCAUGGGAAAGUUUUGAGCGCUUGAUUGAAUUUUUUAUUUCAGUCAUGGUGAAUAAUUUAGUCGGCUUUAUUUAUGACUACAGGAUAAUGCAUCCAGGCAGAGCAGGCCUGAGAUAAAACACAGAGGAUCACAGCUGCAGUCAGAGGACCGAGUCUCCAACCAAGUCUUACCUGCAGGGUCAGGACUCUGCAGGGUCAGGAGGACUCUGCAGGGAGAGAGUCUCCGGACUCUGAGCCGUCAUGUUCUUUAAAGAGGAGGAGUUUCUGUAGAUGCAGAGUCAUGAAAACACAGCAGCUGUAAUAAUGAGAGGAUAUAAACCCGACAUUAAAGUUUAAUCAAUCGCAGAGUUUGACACGCACACGCACACACACACACACAUGCACACACACGCACGCACGCACACACACACACACACACACACACACACACGUCCUUUGUCAGGGUCAGCAGAGGAACAGAUCAGGUAACGUUUCCUCAGGUGUUUCUAAGAUCAGUCAGAAAGUUCCCCAUCCGUGUGUUUGUGUGUUUGUGUUUGUGUGUGUUUGUGUGUUUGUGUUUGUGUGUCUGUGUGUCUGUGUGUCUGUGUGUUUGUGUGUUUGUGUGUUUGUGUUUGUGUGUUGCUCUCUUCAGUGAAGUUCUGACCCAGAUAGACCCUCCUGUUGGGCAUUUAGCAGAGCAGGUUAGCCUGCUGUGUGUGUGUGUGUGUGUGUGUGUGUGUGUGUAUACAUCUGUGAUUUUGUGUGUUUUUGAGGCAGGGUGUCGUGGCAAAGGCGGUAAUUAAAUGUCCCUCAGUUCCUCCCAGCUGUGUGUGUUUUCUCCAGGUCAUACUUACACAACUCAGUGUGCGUGUGUGUGCGUGUGUGUGCGUGUGUGUGCGUGCGUGUGUGUGUGUGUGUGUGCGUGUGUGUGCGUGUGUGUGUGUGUGUGUGUGUGUGUGUGUGUGUGUGUGACUCAGACCUACACUUUCUGCUCAGUCGUCUGUUAGUCAGCUCAGUGUUUGUAGAUCAAACAGUCCUCUCACUGCUGACCGAACAGAAACUUGUUUUCUUGUGAUUUAGCAUUUUCAUGUUUCUGUAUUUUUGUAUUUUUUUUUGGUAUUUUAGUUUAUUUGUAUUUUUUCUUUUUUAUGUCUUCAUUUUUGUGUUUUUUGUAAUUUUUUUUACUUUUUGUAUUUUAUUUUUGUAGUUCUAUGGUUUUGUUUUAUUUUUGUAUUUUUGUGUUUUUGUUUUAUUUUUUAUUUUUGUGUUUCUGUAUUUUUGUGUUUUUGUAUUUUUGUCAUUUUUAUGUUUUUUUUACAUUUUUUGUAAUAUUUUUGUGAUUUUGUAUUUUGUGUUUUUUUGU